rnacentral:rRNA from 1 species
UACGUAGGGUGCGAGCGUUAAUCGGAAUUACUGGGCGUAAAGCGAGUGUAGGCUGUCCGCCAAGUCGAUUGUGAAAUCUCCCGGCUCAACUGGGAGGGUGCGGUCGAAACUGGCGGACUAGAGUUCGGGAGAGGAGAGUGGAAUUCCUGGUGUAGCGGUGAAAUGCGUAGAGAUCAGGAGGAACACCGGCGGUGAAGACGGCUCUCUGGACCGAUACUGACGCUGAGACGCGAAAGCGUGGGGAGCAAACAGG